rnacentral:pre_miRNA from 1 species
GGGAGAGGCCGAAUCCUGGGCUGUGGCCCGGUUACCUGUGCUCCAGGACCUGCGCUGUUGGAUUUUCACUCCCGGCUGGGCAGGCACCU